GCAGGAAGGAGGAGGCUCAGCUGUGCCAAGUGCUGCUGCGGGUCAGUAGGAUCAGAACUGAAAGGUGCCCUUUGGCUUUAGAAACACAAAGUCCCAGGAGACAUCGGAGCCAUGGCACAGUGACAAAUGCAGAGAGUUAGUCACAACAGUGCUUAUGACAGCAACGGAUUGGAAAUCCUGUAGAUUCCCAUCAACAGAGACCUCUGUAACUACAGUAGGAGUACCGUCACCCACGUACACUUCCAGAAAAUUGUAAAGUUUCUUCGUAACACAGAGAUCUGAGCCUAUAUAUCUCACUAACUUUCACUUUCCUGCUGGUAUAUAUAAAUGGG